AGUUUGAUCCUGGCUCAGAAUGAACGCUGGCGGCGUGCUUAACACAUGCAAGUCGAACNAGAAAGCUUUAGCUUGCUAGAGCGAGUGAAGUGGCGCACGGGUGAGUAACGCGUGGGUAAUCUGCCCUUGAAUUUGGGAUAACACUUCGAAAGGAGUGCUAAUACCGGAUAACAUCUUUUUUAUUGCGGUAGAAAAGAUCAAAGAUAGCCUCUUCUUGAAAGCUAUUGUUUGGGGAUGAGCCCGCGUACCAUUAGCUAGUUGGUGGGGUAAAGGCCUACCAAGGCGACGAUGGUUAGCUGGUCUGAGAGGAUGAUCAGCCACACUGGAACUGGAACACGGUCCAGACUCCUACGGGAGGCAGCAGUGAGGAAUUUUGCGCAAUGGGGGAAACCCUGACGCAGCAACGCCGCGUGAGUGAUGAAGGAUUUCGGUUCGCAAAGCUCUGUCAAGUGGAAAGAAGUUAUAUAUGGUUAAUAGCUGUAUGUAUUGACGGUACCACUGAAGGAAGCACCGGCUAACUCCGUGCCAGCAGCCGCGGUAAUUACAAGGG
rnacentral:rRNA from 1 species